CUUUGUAACUGUAGUUAUUGUAAACUGCUAUUUAUUAUUAUUUAUUUUAUUAUUAUCAUUAUUAUAUUUUUCCUUAUUAUUCUUAGUUAUAUACAAUUUCUUACUGCUGUGGUUUAAAUUUAGUGAAAGGCUUUUGUUUGAUUCUUAACUUCUGAAAUUGUCUAUUUAUAUAGUAUGUGUGUAAAUAUGUAUAUGUGUCUCUUCAUGCUUACCUUUGUGAUAUUUUGUAUUUUAUUUUGUCUGUGAUUUAAGAGCUCUGUAUAUGCAUUUUAUUCAUUUCAGAUUGUCAUCGUAUUCGUGUUGUGUUCUUGUGUACGUGGUGUCACGUGAUUGUUUUGUGAAUAUGGUUUUGCUGAGUUAGAUAUUUGUAGAAUCUAUACCUGAACAUGAAUUAGCGAAGUUGAAAGUCCACUUGCUAUGAAUUCACAGCAAUAUUGACUCCAAAUGGAACAAUGAUUUUGCGAAGAUCAUCAACAAUAGGCUUUUGAUCCUGGUCUUCAGAUGCUUGUACUACAUUCAACAUGUCAGCCUGAUUUUCCCCCAAAUCUAAAGGCUGGUCCAUCUCCAAUUUAAUGUCCACUAACUCAUCCAAAUCACCUGUAACCGAGAUUGUGCUACUGUCCGAGUCAGAUUGACCAUCAACAUCAAUUGACCUCCUAGACGGAAGAAUUGUUUGUUCCUUACUCUUUCUCCUCUGACGUUCUGGACUUCGCCUGUACGGUUUUGUGCGUAUUUUUGCAAAUUCCUCCACACUUAACCACCGUAUUCCAUCAGCAGUUAGGAGUUUCCCAUGCCUGGUUUUUAAGUGUCUUUUGUAUGUAUUUCUUGUUUUGAAUCUUUGUGGGCAAUCUGUGCACACAAAUGGUGUUUCUCCAGUGUGUCUCCUCAAAUGCUCCUAUAUAAAAAAUAAUAAUGAUCA